AUUGAACGCUGGCGGCAUGCCUUACACAUGCAAGCCGAACGGCAGCACGGACUUCGGUCUGGCGGCGAGUGGCGAACGGGUGAGUAAUACAUUGGAACGUGCCCAGUCGUGGGGGAUAACGUAGCGAAAGCUACGCUAAUACCGCAUACGAUCUAAGGAUGAAAGCGGGGGAUCGCAAGACCUCGCGCGAUUGGAGCGGCCGAUGGCAGAUUAGGUAGUUGGUAGGGUAAAGGCCUACCAAGCCGACGAUCUGUAGCUGGUCUGAGAGGAUGAUCAGCCACACUGGGACUGAGACACGGCCCAGACUCCUACGGGAGGCAGCAGUGGGGAAUUUUGGACAAUGGGCGCAAGCCUGAUCCAGCCAUUCCGCGUGCAGGAUGAAGGCCUUCGGGUUGUAAACUGCUUUUGUACAGAACGAAAAGGCUCUGGUUAAUACCCGGGGCUCAUGACGGUACUGUAAGAAUAAGCACCGGCUAACUACGUGCCAGCCGCCGCGGUAA
rnacentral:rRNA from 1 species